rnacentral:tRNA from 1 species
UCCUGGUUAGCUAAGUUGGUAGAGCGCUUUACUGAAAAUAGAGAGGUCCCUGGUGUAAUACCUGGAUCAGGCG